rfam:Salmo salar isolate Sally breed double haploid chromosome ssa21, whole genome shotgun sequence.
GAGCAAGGUACCUGUAAAUCGCUCUGGAUAAGAGCGUCUGCUAAAUGACUGAAA